rnacentral:rRNA from 1 species
UGGGGAAUCUUCCGCAAUGGACGAAAGUCUGACGGAGCAACGCCGCGUGUAUGAUGAAGGUCUUCGGAUUGUAAAGUACUGUCUUUGGGGAAGAAUGAUUGGUUUGAAAAUAUUGAGCCAAUAUGACGGUACCCAAGGAGGAAGCCCCGGCUAACUACGUGCCAGCAGCCGCGGUAAUACGUAGGGGGCAAGCGUUGUCCGGAAUUAUUGGGCGUAAAGGGCGCGUAGGCGGAUAGUUAAGUCCGGUGUGAAAGAUCAGGGCUCAACCCUGAGAGUGCAUCGGAAACUGGUUAUCUUGAGGACAGGAGAGGAAAGUGGAAUUCCACGUGUAGCGGUGAAAUGCGUAGAUAUGUGGAGGAACACCAGUGGCGAAGGCGACUUUCUGGACUGUAACUGACGCUGAGGCGCGAAAGCGUGGGGAGCAAACA